rnacentral:misc_RNA from 1 species
UUUAAAAAAAUAGUUCCACAAACAUGGCCUACUUGAGAUCUUCUUUUGUUUUCUUCCUUCUUGCUUUUGUGACUUACACUUAUGCUGCCACUUUCGAGGUACGCAACAACUGUCCAUACACCGUCUGGGCGGCGUCGACCCCAAUAGGCGGUGGUCGACGUCUUGAUCGAGGCCAAACAUGGGUCAUCAAUGCACCGAGGGGCACUAAGAUGGCACGUAUAUGGGGUCGUACGAAUUGCAACUUUGAUGGUGCUGGUAGAGGUUCAUGUCAGACUGGUGAUUGUGGUGGGGUCUUGCAAUGUACCGGGUGGGGCAAACCACCAAACACCCUGGCCGAGUACGCCUUGGACCAGUUUAGCAACCUAGAUUUCUGGGACAUUUCUUUAGUCGAUGGAUUUAAUAUUCCAAUGACUUUCGCCCCGACCAAUCCUAGUGGAGGGAAAUGCCAUGCAAUUCAUUGUACGGCUAAUAUAAAUGGUGAAUGUCCUGGUUCACUUAGGGUACCCGGAGGAUGUAACAAUCCUUGUACCACGUUCGGAGGACAACAAUAUUGUUGCACACAAGGUCCAUGUGGCCCUACUGAUUUGUCGAGAUUUUUCAAACAAAGAUGUCCUGAUGCGUAUAGCUACCCACAAGAUGAUCCUACUAGCACAUUUACUUGCCCUAGUGGUAGUACAAAUUAUAGGGUUGUUUUUUGUCCUAAUGGUGUUACUAGCCCAAAUUUCCCCUUGGAGAUGCCCUCAAGUGAUGAAGAGGCUAAGUAAAAUUGAGUCACUUUCUUUUAAAUUGCUUGAAGUAGUCGAGUUAUAUAAUUGGCUUGUAAUAAACCUAAUAUAAUUACAUGAAUAAAA